rnacentral:sRNA from 1 species
GGUUGGGGGCGUCUUCCUCGCGGGCCCUGUGCAGGGUCUUGUAAUGGAAGUUACACGCAGGGCACAGAGUAUAGGGGAGGGGAAAGAUCCUUCUGGCCUUCGGUGGAGAAGUAGCAUCCUGGGUGCGUGCACAGUCUCCCCUCAGGGGGCACUCAUCAGGGGUCCUCUCCCUGGCUCUGAGGCCCUCGGGUCUGGAAGGAACAAGGCGAAUCGGCUUGUAGUGGCCCCAGCGAGGGGAGGAGGAGGAGGAGGAGGAGGAGGAGGAGGAAGAGGAGGAGGAGGAGGAGGAGGAGGAGGAGGAGGAAGAGGAGGAGGAGGAGGAGGAGGAGGAGGAGGAGGAGGAGGAGGAGGAGGAGGAGGAGGAGGAGAAGCCUCCCCAGACCGCCAGGGGUCGCUGCCGAGCCGCAGCAAAUCCAACUGAUCCCCACGUCUUGGC